GGGUGAGUAACGCGUGGGUGACCUGCCCGGGAGAUCGGGAUAACAGUUCGAAAGGGCUGCUAAUACCGGAUGAUAUCUUUUCUUUUCGGAGGGGAGAUCAAAGCGUUUAGCGCUCUCGGAUGGGCCCGCGUCCCAUUAGUUAGUUGGUGGGGUAAUGGCCUACCAAGGCAGCGAUGGGUAGCCGGUCUGAGAGGAUGUUCGGCCACACUAGGACUGAGACACGGCCCAUACUUAGUUGGUGGGGUAAUGGCCUACCAAGGGCAGCGAUGGGUAGCCCGGUCUGAGAGGAUGUUCGGUCACACUAGGACUGAGACACGGGCCCAGACUCCUACGGGAGGCAGCAGUGGGGAAUUUUGCGCAAUGGGGGAAACCUUGACGCAGCGACGCCGCGUGAGUGAUGAAGGCCUUCGGGUUGUAAAGCUCUGUUGGGGGGGAAGAUAGUGACGGUACCCCCUGAGGAAGCCCCGGCUAACUACGUGCCAGCAGCCGCGGUAAGACGUAGGGGGCGAGCGUUGUCCGGAAUUACUGGGCGUAAAGGGCGUGUAGGCGGCCUUUCAAGUCGGCUGUGAAAUUCCUUGGCUUAACUGAGGGUGUGCAGUCGAAACUGAUGGGCUUGAGUGCAGGAGAGGGUGGUGGAAUUCCCGGUGUAGCGGUGACAUGCGUAGAUAUCGGGAGGAACACCGGUGGCGAAGGCGGCCUCCUGGUCUGUUACUGACGCUGAGGCGCGAAAGCCGGGGGAGCAAACAGGAUUAGAUACCCUGGUAGUCCCGGCCGUAAACUCUGGGUACUAGGUGUAGGGGGCUUCGAUGCCUUCUGUGCCGUAGUUAACGCAUUAAGUACCCCGCCUGGGGAGUACGAUCGCAAGGUUGAAACUCAAAGGAA
rnacentral:rRNA from 1 species